CCUACGGGUCGCAGCAGUAGGGAAUCUUCCACAAUGGGCGCAAGCCUGAUGGAGCGACACCGCGUGAGUGAAGAAGGGUUUCGGCUCGUAAAGCUCUGUUGUUGAAGAAGAACGUGCGUGAGAGUAACUGUUCACGCAGUGACGGUAUUCAACCAGAAAGUCACGGCUAACUACGUGCCAGCAGCCGCGGUAAUACGUAGGUGGCAAGCGUUAUCCGGAUUUAUUGGGCGUAAAGCGAGCGCAGGCGGUUGUCUAAGUCUGAUGUGAAAGCCUUCGGCUUAACCGAAGAAGGGCAUCGGAAACUGGAUGACUUGAGUGCAGAAGAGGGCAGUGGAACUCCAUGUGUAGCGGUGGAAUGCGUAGAUAUAUGGAAGAACACCAGUGGCGAAGGCGGCUGCCUAGUCUGCAACUGACGCUGAGGCUCGAAAGCAUGGGUAGCGAACAGGAUUAGAUACCCCAGUAGUC
rnacentral:rRNA from 1 species